GAGUUUGAUCCUGGCUCAGGACGAACGCUGGCCGCGUGUUUAACACAUGGCUACCUUGCGACGAACCAGGCUUCGGCCUGGGCCAAACUCGCGAACGGCCGACUAACACGUGGGUAACGUGCCCCAUUGAUCGGUUGACCCCUUUCAAGCCCGGACUAAUACCGAGUGCGCUCCCCUCACAUCAGUGAGCCCCGGAAAGGCUGAUUCGGCCUCCGCAUUGGCAUCGGCCCGCGGCCCAUUAGCUUGUUGCUGAGGUAACGGCUCACCCCGCUGCGAUGGGUAGCUGGCCUGACAGGACGAUCAACCCACUGGAACUGACACUGGGCCCAGAGUCCUACCCUGGGCAUCAGUGGCAAGUCUUGUUGAUGCGUCAAAGCCUGACUCCGGUUUCCGCCGGGGGGAACAAGGGCUUCCCCUUGUAAAUGCCUUUCACGAGGGACGAAGCCCGGACGUCUAAUAGCCAAUCCGGGUGACAUCUACCUCCAGAAGAAUGCCCGGCUAACUGCGUGCCCUGAGACGCUGCACUACGUAGGAAGCAAGGGUUGUCCGGAAUCCUUGAACGUGUAGAGCGUGUAUGCGGUCCUUCAAGUCGGCUGUGAAAGUCCCACAUGUCUCCCCUGCUUUGCCGGUCGAUACUGCCGGACUUUGAGUUCGGAAGAGUGCGAGUGGAAUUCCCGGUGUAGCGGUGAAAUGCGCAGAUAUCGGGAGGAACACCUAUGGCGAAGGCAGCUCGCUGGGACGUUACUGACGCUGAGACGCGAAAGCGUGGGGAGCAAACAGGAUUAGAUACCCUGGUAGUCCACGCCGUAAACGAUGGGCACUAGGUGUGGGAGGUGUCGACUCCUCCCGUGCCGGAGCUAACGCAUUAAGUGCCCCGCCUGGGGAGUACGGCCGCAAGGCUAAAACUCAAAGGAAUUGACGGGGACCCGCACAAGCAGCGGAGCAUGUGGUUUAAUUCGACGCAACGCGAAGAACCUUACCUGGGUUUGACAUGUUCCUGACCGCCGUGGAAACACGGCUUCCCCUUGUGGGCAGGAUCACAGGUGGUGCAUGGCUGUCGUCAGCUCGUGUCGUGAGAUGUUGGGUUAAGUCCCGCAACGAGCGCAACCCCUGUCGCAUGUUGCCAGCAUUUAGUUGGGGACUCAUGCGAGACUGCCGGUGACAAACCGGAGGAAGGUGGGGAUGACGUCAAGUCAUCAUGCCCCUUAUGUCCAGGGCUACACACGUGCUACAUUGGCCGGUACAGAGGGCUGCGAUACCGCGAGGUGGAGCGAAUCCCAAAAAGCCGGUCUCGGUUCGGAUUGGAGGCUGAAACUCGCCUCCAUGAAGGCGGAGUUGCUAGUAAUCCCGGAUCAGCAACGCCGGGGUGAAUACGUUCCCGGGUCUUGUACACACCGCCCGUCACACCACGAAAGCGGGCAACACCCGAAGCCGGUGACCCAACCCUUACGGGAGGGAGCCGUCGAAGGUGGGACUGGCGAUUAGGACUAAGUCGUAACAAGGUAGCCGUACCGGAAGGUGCGGCUGGAUCACCUCCUUUCU
rnacentral:rRNA from 1 species